UAACGGCUGGAAACGGUCGCUAAUACCGCAUGAUGUGUUCGGAUGGCAUCAUCUGAACAUCAAAGAUUUAUCGCUGAAAGAUGGGCUCGCGUCUGAUUAGAUAGUUGGUGGGGUAACGGCCUACCAAGUCUACGAUCAGUAGCCGGACUGAGAGGUUGAACGGCCACAUUGGGACUGAGAUACGGCCCAGACUCCUACGGGAGGCAGCAGUGGGGAAUAUUGCACAAUGGGGGAAACCCUGAUGCAGCAACGCCGCGUGAAGGAUGACGGUUUUCGGAUUGUAAACUUCUUUUCUUAGUGACGAAGACAGUGACGGUAGCUAAGGAAUAAGCAUCGGCUAACUACGUGCCAGCAGCCGCGGUAAUACGUAGGAUGCAAGCGUUAUCCGGAUUUACUGGGUGUAAAGGGAGCGCAGGCGGGACUGCAAGUUGGAUGUGAAAUACCGUGGCUUAACCACGGAACUGCAUCCAAAACUGUAGUUCUUGAGUGAAGUAGAGGCAAGCGGAAUUCCGAGUGUAGCGGUGAAAUGCGUAGAUAUUCGGAGGAACACCAGUGGCGAAGGCGGCUUGCUGGGCUUUAACUGACGCUGAGGCUCGAAAGUGUGGGGAGCAAACAGGAUUAGAUACCCUGGUAGUCCACACUGU
rnacentral:rRNA from 1 species